CGGCGAAGCGAUCGUUCAGAGCCGCCAACUCCGUCCGCUCCGCGCUGCGCCCCGCCGAACGCGCAUCAACGGGAACCGGCGGAGAAUCGAGGCUUUGCGCUCUUCAAAACCAAAUGGAAAAAUCCCACGCAGCGUUCGGAGCAGCGCGGCUCUUUUCUCAGUCUCUGCUGCCACCGUGUGGCCAAAGAGCGGAACUGCAGGAGUGGCGCUUGGGGGACGGUUGAACCCUGGAGGCGGCGGUGGCGGUUUUAGGGCCGGCGGAACUUUUAGAGGCGGUGCUGCUGCUGCUGGUUUUAUAGAGCGGAGGGGAUCAGGGUUGCUCAAGGCGGUUCGGACCUCCCCGGCGCCAGCACUGCCCCGCAGAACGCUCUUGGAGCUGCUUAGCGCGUCGCUCUGCCCUCCCGCUCCGAGUCUCUAUUCUCCAUGGUAAUUGGUAAUCCUGUCGCUAACAUGCAAGUGUUGCGACACACAGAAGUCGCGACUCUCCACUCUGACAGCUCUGCGUCGUCAGUUCGCCAAUACCUACGAUAAUAGCGCUUGCGACUGUACUGCGCAUGUGCAGUGAAACGCGGAAAGUCUGUUGUAACCGCUCUGCGCUCCCAGACCUCCAAUCUCUAUGCUUCUUUGGUCUUCCAGGCUGUAGUACACAUGCGCAAACAGCUCUUACCGCUCUGCGCCACAGUUCCGCCAAUCUCUAUGGUCUUCGGUCCGCCAGGCGGCAUUACGCAUGCGCACAGGCUCAAGCAAGCACUUUGGGAAGCCUAUGGGGCACACAGGGGGGGCACAGAGAGGCGCUGGGGGACUGAGCGUAAGGGAGCUUUGGGGUGUCCAGAAGUCAUCUGCCCCAACGGGAGACGCCCCCGAUUUUGGGGUGUCCCCAGUCAGGAACUGCCUCACUUUAUAGAAUCUCCCCAUUUUUGAGGUUUCCCCAUGGCUUCCACUAAGGGAAUCUGUUUGGGGCGCGGGUAGGAUUGGGAUGAGGACAGGGAUGAGAUGGGAUUGGAACGGGGAUGGGAUUGGGGUUGGAGAGGAUGAGAGUGGGGAUUGGGAUGGGAAUGGGGUUGGGGAUGGGAUUGAGAUGGUGAUGAGGAUAGGGAUGAAGUGUUGAUAGGGAGGGGAUGGAACGGGAUUAGGGUGGGGAUGGGAUGUGGGAUUGGAAUGGGGGAGGGAGUGGGAAUGUGACAGGGAUGGGAUGGGGACAGAUGAGAACGGGACAGAACUGGGGUGAGGAUGGCAUGGUUUUGGGGUAUGGAUGAGCACAGGAUGGGGUGAGGAUGUGGCUGAGAAGACCCCCGGGUGCCCCCCACCACGCAGCGCCGGUGCGGCCGUUCCGAUCACCUUUAUUGGAGGAAACCAACAGAAAACCCAACGGCGCCCGGCGCCGCGCAGCCCCACACCCCACAGCACUCCCACCCCAACGGGGCACAGCGGGAGAUGGGGGGCAGACAUGAGGCCAGACCCCCCCAAAGACCCCCACCCCCCCAAAAAAAACCCCAAAUGAAGCAGGGCGGAGCGGCAGGGCCCGGCAAUGUCGGUUUUCCUCCUUUUUUUCCUUUCCUUAUGCUGAUUCUUGGCUUGAUUUCGGCGGGGCGGCGCUGGGUUUUCUGUUCCAUUUCGGUGUUGGGGUUGGGGACGGC